GAUGAAGAACGCAGCGAAAUGCGAUACGUAAUGUGAAUUGCAAAUUCAGUGAAUCAUCGAGUCUUUGAACGCACAUUGCGCCCCCUGGUAUUCCGGGGGGCAUGCCUGUCCGAGCGUCAUUGCUGCCCUCAAGCACGGCUUGUGUGUUGGGCCCCGUCCUCCGAUCCCGGGGGACGGGCCCGAAAGGCAGCGGCGGCACCGCGUCCGGUCCUCGAGCGUAUGGGGCUUUGUCACCCGCUCUGUAGGCCCGGCCGGCGCUUGCCGAUCAACCCAAAUUUUUUAUCCAGGUUGACCUCGGAUCAGGUAGGGAUACCCGCUGAACUUAAGCAUAUCAAUAAGCGGAGG
rnacentral:misc_RNA from 1 species